rnacentral:sRNA from 1 species
GCCAGGCGCAGUGGUGCACGGCUGUAAUCCCAGCUACCAGGGAGGCUGAGGUGGGAGGAUCACUUGAGUCCAGGAGUUCGAGGCUGCAGGGAGCUGUGAUCGUGCCACUGCACUCCAGCCUGGGUGACCGAGUGAGACCCUGUCUGUUAAAAAAAAACAUUUUAAGGCUGGGCAUUGUGGCUCAAGCCUGUAAUCCCAGCACUUUGGGAGGCUGAGGUGGGAGAAUCAUUUGAGAGGUCAGGAGUUCCAGGCCAGCCUGGGCAACAUGGUGAAACCCCGUCUCU